UACUGGAAGUUGAGAACCGGUCUAGACCGGUACAGACACCGGUUUUAGGGGGAGUACCGGUAGGAACCGGCCCAUAUGUACCGUUUAAUUUCAGCCGUUAAGAUCCUAACUAGUUUUAAUCCUAUCCGUCCAAUAUAGAUAACCCUAAUACUAAUCGCUAACUCUGGUAACUCUCUCACUCUCAGUUUUCUUUCUUCUUCGUUUUUUUUCUCUCUGAAGCAGUGAAGCUAUGAAGAGCAGCCUCUUCAUCUCUGAGUAACUACGGCUACCCUCACCAAUCAAUCAGGAAAUCACCAAUUCACGAUCAUCAUCAAGUGAUUCAAGUCUUACUAGUUAGUAGCUAUCAAUCAAUCAGGUUAAGUGGUGACUGCCAAGGAUACCAAUUUUUUCUUCGUCUAUCAGAUUCAAUCUAAACCUUUUUGUUUCCAAGGUUGAGGUUGUCCUAUCCAAUCAAUGGCCUUAUUGGAGGGGAAAGUGCAGAUUUGUGGCCUAGGAUUGCAACUUGCAAGUGCAGGCUGUGCAACCA